CUAAAUAUUGGUUUUAUUGCAGUCAAUCUCCUAUCGCUUGUCGUCGGUGAAGAGCACCUGCAAAACAAAAUCUUCACAAAUCGAAAUUGUGUCCGGCGGAGAUCCUCCGAUACUUAAGUCAGCGGAGAGUGAUGAACAGCAGAUGAAAAAUAUUUAAAUUGACAGAGUUUCGGCCCAGAAUUGUCUUAUCCAUGCUGCUCAUUUACUUCUCUUUUAUAGAUGAUUCUGAUAUAAUCGUUGAGCACGUGGUCCCGCUUUUUAUAGCGCUAAAUUAUCGGACCAUAAUCAUAGAGUUAAUGGAUCGUUUAUGCCCAC
rnacentral:lncRNA from 1 species